UUUUGUUUUGGCUUCAAUCCGCCAGCUGGUUCUCCUGGGCUGAUCCUGCCGGCCUGAGGAAGAGGAGGAGGAGGAGGAGGAGGAGGAUUGGCUACAUCUGCCCCUAUCUGGUCGGGUGGAGGGGAGUGGGGAACCUAGAAUUAGCGGGGCGAAGUCCCGGGACGGAGCAUGGGGGGCUGGGCCCAGGCCCAAACCCAGACCCAGGCCCAGGCCCUACCAAUGCUGGGCUUUUGCCCCGCGUCGUGUGAUCGGCUGUCAGGGUGGCCGCGAUGUUUGUAGACCCCGGGGAAGGCGGCAGUAUGAGCCUCCCCUUCUCCUUCUAGAACCACCACCUUCGCCUGCUGCUUCCUUCUCUCCCCCCUCCCUGUCCUGCAGUGAGUGGGAGCCGAGAGAACCCCGAGUUGAGAAUCGACCCCCAGGCCAUCCCCACCUCCCGACACCCAGCCUCCCGGCAUGGCUCAGGAAAAAAUGGAGUUGGACCUGGAGCUGCCGACUGCCACCGCCCCCCCUGAUGGAGGCAGCCUGAGGAGAUCCAACAGUGCUCCCUUGAUCCAUGGGCUCAGUGAUAAUUCGCAGAUUUUUCAGCCUUAUGUAAUCCGAACCCGGAGGAAUAGUACAACAGUGAUGAACCGUCAUAACUUGUUGCUGUCAUCUUCUCCUAUUCGUGUUCCCAGCAGCAGACUUCAUCAAAUCAAAAGGGAAGAAGGAGUAGACCUGAUGAACAGAGAAGCUGCUCAUGAGAGGGAAGUACAGACAGCAAUGCAGAUAAGCCAUUCCUGGGAAGAAAGCUUAAGUUUGAGUGAUAAUGACUUUGACAAAUCGGAGAAAUCAUCUUCUCCUAAGAGAAUUGACUUCGUCCCAGUUUCUCCAGCACCAUCACCCACUAGAGGAAUAGGAAAGCAAUGUUUUUCACCAUCCUUACAAAUGUUUGUGAGUAGCAAUGGGCUACCUCCUAGUCCUAUUCCCAGUCCAACAAGACGAUUUUCAAACAGAAGGAGUCAAAGUCCAAUCAACUGCAUUAGACCCAGUGUUCUUGGUCCUAUUAAAAGGAAAGGUGAAAUGGAAACUGAAAGUCAGCCAAAGAGACUCUUUCAAGGCAUUACUACUAUGCUUUCUCCUGAUAUUACGAAUCUGACAGAUCUCAGUUCAUGGAUUCAAAGAAAAGCAUUUGUGAAGCAGCAAAAAUGGUCGUCCACCACUGCACUGUUUCGACUGACUCACAUACAAUCAAACCACCUCCACUGAGACACCAUUAAUUCAGCGUUUGACAAAGGGCUAGGCCCUUCGAUUCAAUUUUCCCUUCAAUAUGAUUCAGUUUCUAACCAACAAACAUUUCCUAAGACCUCCUGUAUCCAAAGCACUAAUCUACACUGCUGGAAAGAACAGAAACAUAAAGUAUGAUCACUACUUCCGAUCACUAGUACCUUAGCACUGCCUUUGAAGGCAUAAUUUGGAGGAUCAUAGAUUCAGAGGUACAAGAUAGAGACCUCAGGGGUUAUCCGAGCUGGAACAGAAGGGGCCUAAGAGGCCACUAAGUUCAGCUCCUUCAUUUUAGAGACCCAGAGAGGUGAUUUAUGUGACUUGCUCAAAGUCACGCUGCUAGUAAAUAGAAGAGCUAGGAUUAGAAUCCAGGUCCUGUGGUCUUCCAAUCCCUUCAUUUCACUGAUGAAGGAACUGAGUUCCAGCAACAUGCUCAAGUCAGUAAGUGGCAAAGGUGGGAUUCCCACCAAAAUCUUUGGACUCUUUCUUCGAGGAAUUAAUAAUAUGGAAGGAAAAAGUUAAGGCUUAGGAGAAUGUGGAAUACAACCAAAAAAGCCAGGUUUACAUUUUCCCCUCACACUAGACAAAUAUACAUAAUAAAGGCAGACCACAGAGCAGAAGAGUGUUGGACGAAGACUUUUGUCUUCUUCUUUUAGCUCAUUUCCAGCUUGGAUUUAUUUGCAUGCCAAUCUGGAGGAAAUCUAGUAAAUGAAGCUCAGUCACCACAAAGCUCUCCGAGUUGCUUUUUUAGAGAAAUGGGCUUGGGGAAAAGACAAUCCCCAUAAAAGAGUUAAAAGAGAAUUUUAAAGAAUUCCUAGGCCUGAUUCACAUAGUAACUUGAAUCAGACUGACAUCAAAAGUUCAAAGAACAGACCAUCUCCUUCCAGGAUCAUUCUGCCUGACUUCUGUCCAGCUGCCACUAGCUGAGUAUAAUCAUUGGUAGCUUUAGCUGUGCCUCCAGAGCUUUUGACCCGCCCCUAUCAGUAGGAACCUCUCUAAUCAAGGACCUUAGCAAACAGAAUGGGUAGAAGGUGGCCCAGAAGAAAGGAAACCCAGAAGCUUGGAAAAGAAACUCAGCUACAAGGAAACAACCUGCCAUCAGCACUGUGAUACUUCUGGGCUAACUCGAGCUUCAGUUGCUGAUGGAACAAAGACAAUGAAUGUUGGUUUGCUCGGUGAUUUACGAGUUCCUUGGAAAGAUGUUGCUCAGCUGAGAUCUAAGAAACUUCAAGACAGGCCUAGUAUUUAUGACAUGUUUCUCCCAACCACUGACCUCAAGUUUCAUCAAAAGAAGUUUGGGGCAGCCAAAGCAAACAGUAGGGGGAGUUACACCCCAUAAACUUUAGCAAUGAGAUUAUCGUGCCAAAUUCUGACUGAAGUUCAAAUAGAAAGAAAGAAGAGGGAAAAAAACCAACCCCGACUCAUUAUCUUCUCUGUGAACCUGCUUCAACUACCAUUUUCCAGGCCAACGUUCAUUCGACGAGGUAGCAACCACUACAAAAUUUCAGUUACAAAUUGGCAAAAUGUCCCCUUUGUGCGGUGGAGUGUGGGACGUGCAGAGGACUCGUUGGACAUUCUUGGAUACUAGCGAAGUGACCUUGUGAGUAGGUUCAAGGAGAAGUCAUCCAUCUCUGGAGUCUUCGGUCUUCUCUACUUGGCCUUCCCAAUAUGACAGAAAAGAGAUCUCCGGAUGAAUCAAAGAACAGAGGAGCCACAAGAGACUCUUGAGAUCAUCUAGUCCACUGCCCUCGCUUUAUUGAAAAGAAAACUAAAAGAGGUUCAGAGAGAUCACAUGAUCUGCCCAAGGUUGUUCAGUUAGCGUCCGCGGCAGCAUACGGGGAACAUGGGGAGGUCGUCUAUCUACAUAGGAGAGGAGAAGGAGGGAGCAACACGAAGGCGCUUUUAACAACUGCUUGGAAUCCUACUCUACAAAAGAAUUAGAGGGGUAAGACCAAAGGACCCUGCUCUGAGACCUGAAGGCUUGAUGUUAAAGUAAAUCUCCUGCCAAGAAUUGACCCACCCGGCCUAUUGCUCAUUUCCAAUUUCUGGAUUUGCUCUGUGAGUCUUGUCAUCAGAAUCCCCAGCAACUCUCCCUCUUCCAGCUGACCACCAAACAUCAGUCAGUCACCUAGCAUUUUUGCAGCUCCUUCUAUGUGCCAGGCACCGUGCCACUAGAGUUACAAGCUAGGGAUACCAAAAAAAGGCAAAGGACAGCUAGCUCUAGUCGUCCGCCCUUUCUGUGCUUUAUAAUCCCCCUUCUCCCAGCAAGUAGAAGUCCGUUCCACGGCCUCUCCUCUCUGGGCUUCCUGAAGCUCCCCAGUUGGCCAUCAUUGGUCCCUUUCCUGGGUAUUUCCAACUCCUGCUCUCUGCUGCCCUCUGCUAGGGAUGGAACCGCUUUGCUCCCAGGGCAGAUGCCUCAAGUCCUAGGACAACUUCAGGAAAGGGACAUGAGCCCCCUGCUUCCAGAGGACAGUGACAGGUACUAAAGUGGAUGUGUAAAAAAGGCAAGACCUGGUCCUUGGCCUCAGGAAGUAAAAUGUGUAAAAGGAAGCAGUUAAGUAACAAGGGCGCAAUGAGGAAGAGAGAAUGCCUGGGUCUAGCCCUAAGAGUCACGCCAGACUUUGGGGGCUGGUAUCAGCUGAGUUGUUCUAUUACCCAAGAAAUUAAUGGUGUGCUUCAAUUGGCCUUCUUAUUCACAGUGAUGGAAGCAGGGCAGCGAGCAAGUCCACAAUGGAUGUAAACAACAUGGCAAAAGAUGAAAACAUACCAGUGUUGAAAGGAAGUGACGUGGAAAGUCGCAGAAAAAAAUAUGCAGCGAAUAAAAGUUUUAGGAAGAGACGCUGGACUCCCAAAGCACUUACCACGAUUUAUGAAGAACCCGAAGAAGAAAAUUUCUAGCCAGAUGAUGCAACCAACCCAGCAGAGAAGCCAGAAGGAGCCAGGAUCUUGGAAAGCCAGGCCCAGAAGGGACGGAUGGAGGCUUUUCAACUUGCAACUUGAUGGGACUAAUGCUAUGUACAAACUGACUUAAACUAUGACCUUAAUCCUCCUCCCCUCCUGAGACCCAAGUGAUAUAGAAGGGAUUACACCCUUGAGAUGCUUUGGGGAGGAUGUUUCCAUUUUCAUUCUUGUUAUACCUUUAAAGUGAAUACUCUUUUGCAAAAGUUGAGUAGAGAAAAAGAGAAGAGCUACUGGGAAACCCAGUUUGAAGGCACAUACAUCCCCAGUUCCUUCCUUGAGAUCCUCAUAGUGGCAUGGGUCAAAAUAGAAGAUUUAAAGCUGGAUGGGACCUUAAAAGUCAUGUAGUCCCAAUGGUCUCAUUUGAUAGAUUUGGAAACUGAGGCCCAAACAAGUUAAGCGAUUUGCUCAGGAUAAGAUUUGAACCCAGGUCAUAUUGGGCCAUAUUCUUCACUGUUUUCAGCUUCUCCCUAGCUAGGCCACCGUCCAAGGGGCCUUGGCCCGCAGCUUAUACAUACAUUGUGCCAAAUGAGAUCUGACUAGUGCCGGGCCUAGCUAGCCAUCAUUGAUCUCUCUUCUCUUAUGUAAUAUUAUAUAGAUAGAAUUAUAAAUAUAGAUAUAGAUAUAAUAAAUAGAUAUAGCUAUAGGUAUAAUUAUAAAUAUAGAUACAUCUAUAGAUAUAAUUAUAUAGAUACAAUAAAUAGAUAUAGAUAUAAUAAAUAGAUAUAGAUAUAAUUAUAUUAUUAUAUUCUAUAAUAUAAUAAUAUAUGCAACUCUUAUUACACCUUGGGGUAGCAUUAACUGUUUUGAAAAAUAAGCCUGCAAUCUCUAAAGAUCCCCAAGAUCAGCUUUUGCAGGAAUUGGUCAAGAUCCUACCUCUCCCCACUCUGUAUUUGUGAAAUUGCUUUUUUUGCUUUGUGGGGAUAACUUGACAUUUAUCUCAAAUAAAAUUCAAGUGAUUGUUUUCA